rnacentral:lncRNA from 1 species
GCACCAGCAUGUUAGCGUGCUCAUAUUCUUUAAACCUACUCAUACGACCCAUAUGUUGGUGAUUUCACACACAAGAAAGUAAAACAUUCAUCAGUUUGAGGGGUUUUAACUUCACAGCAUUUCACAGAUGGGUUCAGGGGAGGACCGGGGGAAAGUGAAGCACCCAGCAGACUGAACUGGAGAUACUGGCGCUGGUCCGACGGCCAUCUGUCAGCUGUAACUGUGUUCGUGUGACUCAUUUAGCUGGAGACCUUGAAGAAUGAAGUAUUCAGCUGCAGCUCAGGACGACAGCUGGAGGCUCGUUGUUAUCUCCUGUCGGCCCUGAGAGAAAACUUCUCCUCCAACUAGACGAGGGAUUCAAACAAAGAAGACGGACUUCUCUGUGUUUUCGGCUGCUUUGACCCGAGGAUGUGAGACAUUUGGAGAAAAGGACAUUACGCUCCAGUUGAGACAGAAUUUACAUAACCUCAUUGAGUCCAGGCCAGAGAGCUCACCUCGUUCAGAGACAGACAAUAAGUGAUACAGUGAAGGGGAGUUCAUACACUCAGGAGAAGGAGAAGUGUACAUCGUGGUAGGAUAUCGCUCUAGCAGUGUUAUCCAUGUGAGGAUCAUGUGCGUGUGUGUGUCUGUCUGCAGCUCAUCUCACACACUGCAGCACCCAUCUGUCUAAUAUUUGCUGUCCUCAUUUCUGACUGUAUGCUCAACGACCUCUCGUGGUUGAGAUGAUUCACAAUGUUUAGAAAGAAGGAUUUUAUUAAACAGUACUUUGCUGCUGACUCUUCGCUCCUCUUAACCCUGAACUGAUCAACUAUAACAGGCGAACAACAAGCCUCAACACGUCUGUUGCAGGACACAUUUUGAAGCUGAGAGUCUGCAGAUUAAUUCCAUAUCCGAUCCACCAACGUCAGGCCGGGUACGAGAGGAGUUUGUUAUCUUCGCCGCCAUCUUGACUUUCACAAUUGAGACUUUUAGUGGCUUUAAAUGUGUCUAAAAUAAAAAAACAAACUCGAC